GACGAACGCUGGCGGCGUGCUUAACACAUGCAAGUCGAACGAAGUGGCGAACGGGUGAGUAAUACGUGGGUAACCUGCCCUCCUUUUUGGGAUAAGCCUUGGAAACGGGGUCUAAUACCGAAUAAAGGGGGAUGGGCUCGCGGCCUAUCAGCUUGUUGGUGGGGUGAUGGCCUACCAAGGCGGUGACGAGUAGCCGGCCUGAGAGGUGGAGCGGCCACAUUGGGACUGAGAUACUGCGUAGACUCCUACGGUAGAGAGCAGUCGGGGAUAUUGCACAAUAGGCGAAACCCUGACCCAGCAACGCCGCGUGGAGGAUAACACUUUGCGGAGCGUAAACUCCGUUUGCGUUACCAACAGAAUAAGCACCGGCUAACUUCGUGCCAGCAGCCGCGGUAAUAC
rnacentral:rRNA from 1 species